rnacentral:rRNA from 1 species
AUUGAACGCUGGCGGCAGGCCUAACACAUGCAAGUCGAGCGGAGCGGCGGACGGGUGAGUAAUUACUAGGUAUGUGACUGGCAGUAGGGCGUAACGUCAGGAUACGGGCGCUAAUAUCGCAUAAUAUCAGCUUCACCUUGGUCGGAUGAGCUAGUUGGUGGGGUAAAGGCCUACCAAGGCGACGAUCCGUAACUGGUCUGAGAGGCUGAUCAGUCACACUGGAACUGAGACACGGUCCAGACUCCUACGGGAGGCAGCAGUGGGGAAUAUUGGACAAUGGGCGAAAGCCUGAUCCAGCCAUGCCGCGUGUGUGAAGAAGGUCUUCGGAUUGUAAAGCACUUUAAGUUGGGAGGCGUUACCAACAGAAUAAGCACCGGCUAACUACGUGCCAGCAGCCGCGGUAAUUC